CAUGUACUCUCUCCGUCCGAAAAUACUUGUCGGAGAAAUGGAUAAAAAUGGAUGUAUCUAGAACUAAAAUACGUCUAGAUACAUUUAUUUCUCCGACAAGUAUUUCCGGACGGAGGGAGUAGUUU
rnacentral:pre_miRNA from 1 species